AUGCUUUGUGCGUUGAUUUUUUUCCACUUCUGUGCUAGAUCAAGUUGCUGGAAGAAGCAUUUGAAAUUGUUUUGCGAUUAUUUCAUUAAAAAGUGAGAAAUAACACUUCAAAUUAAUAAAUUAAACGCCAUACAACAGACUCCGAACCUUGAAAAGUUAGCGUCGUGCAGUGAAAUAAAAGUGGAACAAAAAUUAUUAGAAAAAGAAUUAGAAGAAACUGGAAUACAGAUAGAACAGGAAGAAUUAGUUUAUGAGGAAAUUCAACCAAAUAAAUCGUCAUUAAAUAUGUACUUUCAGAAAAUCUACAGCAGGAGAAUGCCGUUGUUCGUGAUCAAUUAAACGUCCUUGAAAAAAAUUUAGCUGACCAAACAGUUUUAAUAAAACAGCUUACAAAGGAGAAGGGCGAUAUGAAUUCUGUUCGGGACCAGUUCCCGAUUGAAACGGACGAGCAGCUGAUGAAAAUGGAGGAGAAUAUAAAAAUGAAUAGAGACAUUUAUAUUUCAACAAUCAAAUCCAUAUUACAGCCAGCCGAAGUGCUUGUCAACUUAAAAUUUAUUUUAAGUCAGGAAAUUGUACUGGCAUAUAAUGUGGAUGGAGUACAAGGGAAGAAAGUCCUCAGGAGCCACUCGGAGUUUUAUGGAGCUUUCCUAGAAUGUAUUCCGCCUGGAGACGAAGCACCAGAAAUGCUGAUGCGCAAAGCGAUGCAGAGGGUGAAAAAGAGAGUUUUCAAGCAAAGGUGUACCAAACCCAAAAAUGAAACUGUUUAGGCUAGGCUAGAUUUUAAUAUAUAUUUUAAGUUUGAAUUUUGAAAGAAUUUUGAAUUAAACAUUCAUAUAACACAA